AUUCAGGCUUGUUUCACUUCUUAUCUUUCUGAGCAGCGAUUUAUUGUAUUCUGGAUAAAUGAAACAGUGCUCUUUCUGCUCUGUCCCCCUUCCCCACACACCCCAUCAAAGUAUAUGAAAACCAUUUUCUUAUCACCAUUGUACCCCACACCUUAACGAGUAGUUGUUUCGCGACGCACGUGAUGAAAUUUAUAUGUAGAAAAUAUGACUGUUCGUACCCCUAUUAUUUGACAAAAGAAAAAAGUAUUUAGGAAAUACAAACGCAUUGUUUCAAUGCAAAAAAUCAACGUAUUAAGAAUAAAAAAAUCACAAUCAAUGAUGCAUCGCAUGUUAAAAGGUGGUUUAUUCGUAUCAGAAAUCGGUUACAGUUUAUGGCUCAAAUCCGACCCCAAUACAUGUAUAUCGAGUUACAGCAAUUACAAAUGUUUUAGAUCUAUCUAUGUAAGUAAAUUUAGGCAGAAAGUUCCUCGAUAGCUCAGAUGGUAGAGCAUUCACCCGAAAAUUGAAAGGUCCCGGGUUCGAGCCCCGGUCGAGGCACCCAGCGAAAAACCUCAUCCACGACUCCUACUCUCGUUGCAAGAAAAAACGUUACAUUCAGGCUUGUUUCACUUCUUAUCUUUCUGAGCAGCGAUUUAUUGUAAUGUGGAUAAAUGAAACAGUGCUCUUUCUGCUCUGUCCCCUCCACCACACACCACACCUAAGUAUAUGAAAACCAUUUUCUUAUCACCAUUGUACCCCACACCUUAACGAAUAGUUGUUUCGCGAGGCACGUGAUGAUGAAAUUUAUAUGUAGAAAAUAUGACUGUUCGUACCCCUAUUAUUUGACAAAAGAAAAAAGUAUUUAGGAAAUACAAACGCAUUGUUUCAAUGCAAAAAAACAACGUAUUAAGAAUAAAAAAAUCACAAUUAGUUGUAUAGACGGAAUGUUAAAAGGUGGUUUAUUCGUAACAGAUAUCGGUUACAGUUUAUGGUGCAAAUCGGACCCCAAUAACAUGUACAUCGAGUUACAGCAAUUACAAAUGUUUUAGAUCUAUCUAUGUAAGUAAAUUUAGCCAGAAAGUUCCUCGAUAGCUCAGAUGGUAGAGCAUUCACCCGAAAAUUGAAAGGUCCCGGGUUCGAGCCCCGGUCGAGGCACGCAGCGAAAAACCUCAUCCAUGACUCCUUCUCUCGUUGCAAGAAAAAACAUUUCAUUCAGGCUUCUUUCACAUCUUAUCUUUCUGAGCAGCGGUUUAUUGUAUUAUUGAUAAAUGAAACAGUGCUCUUUCUGCUCUGUCCCCUCCCCCACAUACCCCACCCAAAGUACAUGAAAACCAUUUUCUUAUCGCCAUUGUACCCCAACCUUAACGAGUAGUUGUUUCGCGACGCACGUGAUGAAAUUUAUAUGUAGAUAAUAUGACUCUUUCAUACCCCUAUUAUUUGACAAAAGAAAAAAGUAUUUAGGAAAUACAAACGCAUUGUUUCAAUGCAAAAAAUCAACGUAUUAAGAAUAAAAAAAUCACAAUCAACGAUAUAGUCGUGUACAUUAAAAGAUGUUUAUUCGUAUCAGAAAUCGGUUACACUUUACGGUGCAAAUCGGACCCCAACAACAUGUACAUCGAGUUACAGGAAUUACAAAUGUUUUAGAUCUAUCUAUGUAAGUAAAUUUAGCCAGAAAGUUCCUCGAUAGCUCAGAUGGUAGAGCAUUCACCCGAAAAUUGAAAGGUCCCGGGUUCGAGCCCCGGUCGAGGCACGCAGCGAAAAACCUCAUCCACGACUCCUACUCUCGUUGCAAGAAAAAACGUUACAUUCAGGCUUGUUUCACUUCUUAUCUUUCUGAGCAGCGAUUUAUUGUAUUCUGGAUAAAUGAAACAGUGCUCUUUCUGCUCUGUCCCCCUUCCCCACACACCCCAUCAAAGUAUAUGAAAACCAUUUUCUUAUCACCAUUGUACCCCACACCUUAACGAGUAGUUGUUUCGCGACGCACGUGAUGAAAUUUAUAUGUAGAAAAUAUGACUGUUCCUACCCCUAUUAUUUGACAAAAGAAAAAAGUAUUUAGGAAAUACAAACGCAUUGUUUCAAUGCAAAAAAUCAACGUAUUAAGAAUAAAAAAAUCACAAUCAAUGAUGCAUCGCAUGUUAAAAGGUGGUUUAUUCGUAUCAGAAAUCGGUUACAGUUUAUGGUUCAAAUCCGACACCAAUACAUGUAUAUCGAGUUACAGCAAUUACAAAUGUUUUAGAUCUAUCUAUGUAAGUAAAUUUAGCCAGAAAGUUCCUCGAUAGCUCAGAUGGUAGAGCAUUCACCCGAAAAUUGAAAGGUCCCGGGUUCGAG